CUUAAGGUUGCUGCAUCUUGAAAGUCAGAAGGAAGAUGGAGACUGAAUCAGCUAGUGGUGACAGUGAAUUCUUUUAGCCUGGAAACCAGCUCCUGUUUCACAUUCCUGUACAUGUCAGAAGUGCAGGGCAGGAGGGGGAAGAUUCCACGCUUUUGUUGCUGAAAACAACAUCGUAUGACAUGGAAUAACCUUUUGAUCAGUUUGGAUCAGCAAUCCUGGAUAAGUCUCCUGCCAAGGUCUUGCUCACAACCAGCCCACGUGACUUUGGAGCCGGAGUGAGGAGUGGAAAGCCUUCUCCUAGUGGUUGUCACCACACUGGAAGUGAACCUUGCCAACAGUCAUCUCUCAAGGUGAAAGGAUGAGCAUGAGUAGUUCUCAGUGAAUUGCUUUGGGUAGCUCUUGAGCAGUAAGUGAUAUAAAAACCCUACCAAAGUUCUGAAGCACCAGUAGAAUUGGACCCAGGAGCUCAAAAGAGUUGAGACAGGCUCAGACCCUUCAUAUCUUUUAUCCCCUGUGUUGAAUCAGUCACAGGACUGUGAAAAACUCUUCACCCAACUGGUUCCUGGGAGAUUAAUCAGAGUUGUGUCAUUGGGAUGAUCCUUUUCAUCCUUCAUUUGAAAUUGCCUGGAAAGGAGUGAAAAAAGUAUCACGAAGGGAGCUUUCUAAAUUUCCAGGGAUAAGUUAAUUGAUGGUAAUUUAAAAAGACUUGCCAAGCGGACAGUUGAAGCAGCAAGCCCAUCAGCAGAGGAAGGUCUUAGCAUGCAUCAUCAUCUACCGUCAUCCUUCUACUUAUCAGUUCUCCAGGGAGCCAGAACAGCUGGACAACAACAUGUGUACUGCCCUCCAGGGCUGUCCUAGAAGAUGAUGUCUUCUUAAGCUUUACAAAUAAACAAUCGAGGAGUGCAUUAUCAAGUAUAUGAAGAUAAAAAUUCUAAUCGGAAAGGACUGAUCGAAUUUCUUUGGCACUCAGUAGCAAAAUUCCCACUGACUGCCCAAUGGAAAUGAGGAUGGUGGGUUGAGGAAGAAACUUCAGAGCAGCUUUUUAUCUACAAAAGCCUAAAGUUCAUUUGUCAUACCCUGAUUAUCUACAUUAAAAAAAAAAAAAA